GCGACGUCUGAAUCUGACUACCCCUCAAUCAAACAGGAAAUGUUCCACACAAAGUUUCUCCAAUCUAGAUGAAACUCAGCAAGAACACCAGUAUAAUGUUUAGGAACAGCCACAUAUGCUCACAUUUUGAUAGUUUGUCUUGUAAGGAGAGAUAUAGGAUAAGCCCAUUGCUGCCCUGUAUAAAUGAAUUUAAUAAUAUACGGAGAAAAUUGCUUUGUAUACUAAUCCGUGUCCACUCAUUUCUGGACAUGGAAUAAACAGACAAUUCAGUAACAUAGGAGCUAUAGAUAUUUCAGAAGUUCUUAUUCCAGACUAUGUCAAUUCACCUCCCCCUGUUAAAGAUACAGAGGAAAUACUUUAUGGAAUAAGCUCACAUUGGGGAAAACAGUACUUUCUUGGUCACUAUCCAAUAAUAGAUUGUACUAAAUCUGAUGAAAAUUGUUUAUUCAGUAGAAACUUUAUUUGCUCAACUAUAAAGUCAAUUGAGGUUACAACAAGCAUGCAUGAAUAGACUGUUACUUUUUACAUAAUUUUAUAGCCAAAAUUAACUUGUGAGAGAGCUUUUGUUAUAAUAUUGA